GACGUAGGGCGCGAGCGUUGUCCGGAUUUAUUGGGCGUAAAGAGCUCGUAUGCGGCUUGUCGCGUCGUCCGUGAAAACCUGCGGCUCAACUGCAGGCUGGCGGUCGAUACGGGCAGGCUGGAGUUCGGUAGGGGAGACUGGAAUUCCUGGUGUAGCGGUGAAAUGCGCAGAUAUCAGGAGGAACACCGGUGGCGAAGGCGGGUCUCUGGGCCGAUACUGACGCUGAGGAGCGAAAGCGUGGGGAGCGAACAGG
rnacentral:rRNA from 1 species